AACGAACGCUGGCGGCAUGCCUAACACAUGCAAGUCGAACGAGACCUUCGGGUCUAGUGGCGCACGGGUGCGUAACGCGUGGGAACCUGCCCUUAGGUUCGGAAUAACUCCCCGACAGGGGUGCUAAUACCGGAUAAUGUCUUCGGACCAAAGAUUUAUCGCCUUUGGAUGGGCCCGCGUUGGAUUAGCUAGUUGGUAGGGUAAAAGCCUACCAAGGCGACGAUCCAUAGCUGGUCUGAGAGGAUGAUCAGCCACACUGGGACGGAGACACGGCCCAGACUCCUACGGGAGGCAGCAGUGGGGAAUAUUGGACAAUGGGCGAAAGCCUGAUCCAGCAAUGCCGCGUGAGUGAUGAAGGCCUUAGGGUUGUAAAGCUCUUUUACCCGGGAUGAUAAUGACAGUACCGGGAGAAUAAGCUCCGGCUAACUCCGUG
rnacentral:rRNA from 1 species